rnacentral:rRNA from 1 species
UACGGAGGGGGCUAGCGUUGUUCGGAAUACUGGGCGUAAAGCGCACGUAGGCGGCUUUGCAAGUUAGAGGUGAAAGCCCGGGGCUCAACUCCGGAAUUGCCUUUAAAACUGCAUCGCUAGAGUUGUGGAGAGGUAAGUGGAAUUCCGAGUGUAGAGGUGAAAUUCGUAGAUAUUCGGAAGAACACCAGUGGCGAAGGCGACUUACUGGACACAUACUGACGCUGAGGUGCGAAAGCGUGGGAGCAAACAGG